AAGUCGUAACAAGGUUUCCGUAGGUGAACCUGCGGAAGGAUCAUUAUUGAAUUUUAAUGAAGAGUUUGGUUGUAGCUGGCCCAUUCAUUUGGGCAUGUGCACACCUUUCUCUUUCAUCCCACACACACCUGUGAACCUGUGAGACAGAUGGGGAAUUUACUUGUAGCUUUUUGGAAUACAAAGGCAAUAGGUUAUUGGACCCUCUGUCUACUCAAUUAAUAUAAACUCAAUUUAUUUUAAAACGAAUGUAAUGGAUGUAACACAUCUCAUACUAAGUUUCAACAACGGAUCUCUUGGCUCUC
rnacentral:misc_RNA from 1 species